CGCGCGGGGGGCGGCAGAGCCCGAAGCAUCGGCCGCGGUGCCGCGGGGAGCCCGGCCGGGCCGUUCGGGCAUCAUCGGGAGGCGAACGGAUCCUGCGGGGGAGCUCCUCCGGGGCAGCGCCUGCGGGAGCGGAGGGCGGAGGAGCGCCGCGGCCGUCGGAGCUGCCCGGCGGGGCUGCGGGCUGCUACCUGCUGACACAAAGUGAGGGUGGAGCGGAGCCGAGCGCCCGCCCCGCCCCGCCCGGCCCGGCCCCGCUCCCGGGCGCCCCCUCCCGCCGCUCCGCGGGGUCCGGGCUGAGCGCCGCUCCGCACCGCCGCGGUUCCCCCGGGCCCUCCGUCGGCUCUGCCCUUCGGCCGCGGCCCUCCGCUCGCUGCCGUCCGGGAGCCCUCGUCCAGCUGCCGCUGCUGCGGAGGGUUCGGGUCGGGCUGAUGUCAGAGGUCUGGAAUUCAGCUGUUAUUCGGCUCUGACAUCGCUGAGAGAUUGCUGCAGCCACGCUGUUUGAGCAGGACUAUAGAAGAGCAUCCUCGCAUUAACUUACAGUGCCAAGUCUUCUGGGGGCAAACAGGAGUCAGAAAGCUUCCAGAUAAAACAACAUUAUUACUCACUUACACAUUUGAAACUGAUGGGCAUGUGAGCUGAAUUAUUAACUAGCGUAACUGGGACCUGGAAAGUACCCUUUGAAGUGAGGAACAGCUCUUCAAACUCUACAACCUGUUCUUCGAUGAUCAGCUGUGAGGGAAAUGGUUUCCUGCAACACCUGGAAGCCACACCAACUUUUCCUCCAGAAUGGAUCUGAACUGCACUUGGUGUCCUCUCAUGUCUCUCUGUUGUGAGGAUAUUGAGGUUUUCCUUUGGUUGUUAGAUCUGAUGAACCAUUUGGCCUCAGAUGAUCUCCUACUUGUUUCUCUCAUGUAUGUCAGCAGACACAUCAGCACUCCAGAACACAAUUUUUUGUCAACUUCUGCACUUCAUGACUUCGUUGGCUUUUGGGAGUUUUUUUAUGUGUGUGGUUUUUUUCCCCUGCCACAUCAGUUGUCAUUUCAUAACUCAAUCCUUCCCUGUGGCACUGUCACGCUCCAGCACACAUAUCUAUGGGCUUCAUCUCAAUAUUGUGACAUCUCUGUUUCUCACACAAACCCCAGAACAGCAGGUUUCAUUUACUCAUAAUUUAUACUCUUUCCCACAUGAGUAAUUGGUGUAUCUCAAGAAGUGUAUCAGCAAGUACACUAAGAGGUUGUACAGAAGCAGUAUUUUAACUGAAAGUAUGAAGAAAUACAUUGCAG
rnacentral:lncRNA from 1 species